rnacentral:lncRNA from 1 species
CCAAAUAAUCCAUGCAUAGUAUAUAACUUCUAACACCAAUUUUGUCCCAUCCAAAAACCAUACAUGGUUUGUUUGCACAGUGUAAAAAACCAUACAAUUACUAACCAAUUUCUACACUUUUUUUCACAUUGCGUUUACAACAAUAAUAAUUUUCACAAAUCCACACCUUGUACAAAAAUCCUUCACCAGGUACAUAUCUCCAUUCCACCAAUUACCCUAACUCUUUCUCACUUUUGAUAAAAAAAAAACCAAUAAAAAGAUAUCAAACCAAAGUCAAUACCUCUUUUUACCACCACCAUGAGGUAACCAGAAACCAAACUUAACCCAAGUUUUUUUACCAAUUUUUCAACCAUUCAAGAACCUCCACUUUAUCAACACAACAAGAUCAUCACCAUUGUUUCUAUAUAACACAAAACAACUUCAUCACUUUCAUUACUAACUCAUUCAAACUUACACAAAAAACAUAUAACAUAGCAACAUAAAAAACCAAAGAUCUCUUCCGUUUACACAAUGCAACGCCUCCGAUAUGCACGUAAAGACCACCACGAACGCGACCCCCCGACCUGUCAGUUGCACCUCCGACGUCCCACAACGAUGACAACCAGUCACCGCCACGAAUCUGCACCCUCAUCACCACGAAGACCGCCCUGCAAUCGCCAAUUUGUUGCUGUUGUUCAUUUGCUCUUCCCGUUGUGGAAUCUUGAAAUGUGUAUUUGUUGUGUUCAUUUUGUAGGUUAUGUGCUUGAGUCUUGUUUUUCUUUUUGAAAUUGUUGUUUAUAACACGUUGAGGGAGAAACAAUGAAAUAGAGAAAAACUUUGGAUCUGUUUCACACUCAUGUUUCCUAUAUUAUGCUAUUUUUUUUUCUGUUUUUUUCGUUGCCAUGUGUCGAAGUUUGUGUGGAUGGCAGAAAGCUCUGUUUGACUCACAAGAUAUGUGCG